rnacentral:rRNA from 1 species
UACGUAGAGGGCAAGCGUUGUCCGGAUUUAUUGGGCGUAAAGAGCGUGUAGGCGGCCAGGUAGGUCUGCUGUGAAAACUCGAGGCUCAACCUCGAGACGUCGGCGGAAACCAUCUGGCUAGAGUCCGGAAGAGGAGAGUGGAAUUCCUGGUGUAGCGGUGAAAUGCGCAGAUAUCAGGAAGAACACCCGUGGCGAAGGCGGCUCUCUGGGACGGUACUGACGCUGAGACGCGAAAGCGUGGGGAGCGAACAGG